rnacentral:rRNA from 1 species
CCUACGGGAGGCAGCAGUGAGGAAUAUUGGUCAAUGGGCGAGAGCCUGAACCAGCCAAGUCGCGUGAGGGAGUAAUGCCCUAUGGGUUGUAAACCUCUUUUGCCGGGGAGCAAAAGCCGGACGUGUCCGGCUGUGAGAGUACCCGCAGAAAAAGCAUCGGCUCACUCCGUGCCAGCAGCCGCGGUAAUACGGGGGAUGCGAGCGGUAUCCGGAUUUAUUGGGGUUAAAGGGUGCGCAGGCGGAUUGUUAAGUCAGCGGUAAAAUCGUGGGGCUCAACCCCAUCCAGCCGUUGAAACUGGGGAUCUAGAGUGGGCGAGAGGAAUGCGGAAUGCGUGGUGUAGCGGUGAAAUGCAUAGAUAUCACGCAGAACCCCGAUUGCGAAGGCAGCAUACCGGUGCACAACUGACGCUCAGGCACGAAAGCGUGGGUAUCGAACAGGAUUAGAUACCCGAGUAGUC